rnacentral:lncRNA from 1 species
GCAAUAGCUGACCCAGACAUGCAAAACCGCGAUGUUAAGGAACUAAGGAACACUAACCUCAAAAAGAGUACCGAACUGAAUAAAAAGAGCAUCGAGAUUCCUGGAGAGAAGGAAAAGGGUUAGAAUCGUCAUUAUUACAUUACAUAUGCCAUCCAAAAUGUGUAAGAUCGUCAAAACCUUUUGCAAUCAAAUCAUCUGUAUGAAACUUGAAAACUAAUAGAAACAGAUUUCCAAAAGUUUAAGAUAUACUAUAUAGAUAUAUACGUGCGCUAUAUCAGAAUCCAAUGUCAUUAUCAUUAUUAUUAAAGAUAUAUAUAAAUAUAUUUAGUUGAAAAUAUAUCAAUUCACGAUGCUUUAUGGAAUACACAAGAGGCAUGGAUGAACUUCUCAAGUGAUUUUGAUAUAUUCUUACAAAUAGGUGAAAUGAGCCUGAUGAGAAUUAAUAGCUUGUGAAGUUCAAUUCAUGCCUCUUGUUCGUUCCAUCUAACGUUGUCUAUUAAUAUAUUUUCUACUACUUCAACUUUCCAUCUCGUUAAACUUUGUUUCUUUUAGCAUUUCCAAUAAAUAUAUCCAUAAACAUCCUACAGUGCCAUUAGAAGGACUUAUGCAAUGAAGAAAUGAGUCAUUAAGUAGACAUGGUCAUCAGCAGGACAUGUUCGUGUCCUGUUAACGAUUGGACAAUAGAGUUACUGCCCUCUAUGUACGUAUGCAGGCAGAGAAAACUUUGAGGCCUCCCAAGAAACAAUAGGUUUAAUCAUUAGUCAUUAGUUUAAAUUAGAUAUAUUGUUUCAAAUUUAGGGUUAGGGUUAGGGUAAUAUACCAGUUUUUAUGAUAUCCGGUUAAUGUACAAUUUAGGGUUAUAUUUAGAUGUCCUGUUAAUGUGGACAUCAUAAAAAAUCCUAACCCUAUUCUAAACCCUAAUCCUAACCCUAAACCUAAACCCAAACCCUAAAACUUGUCUGUAGAAUUAUUAUCCUCCUAAUGACAAUAUCUACUUAAUGACUCACUUUUCACUCCAAAUGCCGUCUAAUGACGCCUUUAGUAAAAUACAGUUAACUAAAUUAAUCAUACCCUAACCAAGUUUUGGAAUUGUUUAAGUUAAUUUUGUGAAAAGUUGAUUCGUCCCGAAUUAUUUUUCUUGAGAAUGUGACAUAUUAACCUUACAUCUAAAAGUAUUCAACACAGACCCUGAUUCAGCCAGUCUACUUUGAUUCUUGAAAAACGAAAAAAAAAACAAAGGGUAUUAAUAAUUUAGCUGUUAACUGCAUAUUAGACGGAAUGAAAGUCAAGAAUGUCAGGUAAAAUGUAUCUAACUAAUCCUUGUUUGAUAACAAAUCAAAAGAGAAUUGGCUAACAUGCAUUAACUUAUCAUUUCUGUCUCACACAACUUUAAUCCAAUACGUGAACAGCAUUAUGUAUAAUGUGAUGUGCUCCAACUAGUACAGUAUUACAAACAUCGUAACGGAAAACAAAUGAUUGACCAUAACAGCCUAUAUCGUGUGCCGACAAAAUAAAGCAAUAAGAAAUCGGAUAAAACUAUAUUUAGAUUUUUGCACAUAUUUCUAGUAUCACCGAAGUUCUUUCUGAAUAGGCAUCCUUCGUGGCUUAUCAUACAGUCACUAUAUUUUUGUAUACUGCAUUUUUCUACCCAUUGAGAAACUGCCUUGUAACAUAAAUACUAGAUUUAUAAACUUGUAAAUUGCUUUAAUUUUAUUAUCUAGUAGUAGUUUAUACAACUUUAAUGUAAUACAUUAUCAUUGUUAAUAUGUGGUUAUACUCUUUUUAUUUGUUCUCGUGUAGAUUUUAUUUUAAUCUGUACAAAUGUAAAGUUCAGCU